AGACAUAAUACUUGCAUCUGAGUCUGUUUUAUAUGCAGAUCGCAUUCAUGAGGUCAUUUGCAUUGACCAUUUAUGGUUAAAAAGGGGCGUGUACAGGGCGGAACGUGAAGCUGAUUCAGCUGCGCACACUUGUAGGCACUCUGAUUUAUAAAGCAAAGAUUGCGUACGGUUUGCGUACGCAGGGUUUUAUAAAUCUGAAUAUUUUUUGGCGCACGCAAAACUUGGCUUUUGGGCGUACGUACACUUUUAGUAACGAUCCCACGCACAUUUUUUAUAAAUGAGACCCCUGGGGCCUCAUGUACUAAGACUUGCGUGGAUUUCAUACUGAAACUUGGCGUACGCCAAAACCCAGAAACUGUCUUACGCACAAAUAAAUUCAGAUGUAUCAAAGUGUGCGAACGCAUGGAUCCAAGCACGUUUCUUUUGUACAUCUCGAUCAACGUGGAAUUGAGCGCACAUGCCGAGGUGCCAAACUCCUCCCUGUCCACGCCCUCAUUUAAAUAUGCAAUUUCAUUUAAAUAGGCCUCUGGACCUGAGAUUCACCUCUUAAUCCGAUCACCUGGCACCAUGAACAGAGGCAAAAAACGAAACUUCACGGAGUCUGAGCUCGAGAUUUUGCUCCACGAGGUAGAAAUGCGCAAGCAUAUGCUAUUGGAACCCUGUCAACAGGGAUAAAUGCAAAACAAAAGAGAAGUGAGUGGGAGUGUGUUUGCGAGGCCGUCAAUGCAGUGGGGUCUCAGCAGCGCACACACUCUGAAAUAAAAAAAAAGUGGUCAGACCUCAAGGUGGAGGUGAAGCGGAGGGUUUCUGCCCACCGCCGAAGCGUGACCGCAACAGGUGGGGGGACGGGAGUGGGGGAACUCUCCCCCUUCGAUUUGAGAGUGGCCGCUUUGAUCGGUGACACAGCUCUCACCGGAGUGGUGGGAGCCCAUGAAGGGGACACCGAUCAUCCCCAAGACAAGCAAGGAGAGGGCACGGUUUGCUCCGUCGGCCCCGGCGUCUCCAGCGCCCUUCGGAUUUGACCAUUUGCGAUGUCCUCUAACAACGCUAACGCAGCCAUUUUUAAAACAAUUUUCUUCAUCCAUUGCGCAUGCUUUUAUAGCCACCCAUAUAAUUGCAAGUUUCCCAGCGUCACCUCUAAGUGUCGCCAAAGGAACAAUAGCUGUAGAAACGUGCGUACGACAGCUCUGGAGCUGGCGUGGGGACCGCACAUUUUUACGAUCAUUUCACGUUUUGUACAUCUGAACGUGAGCGUGGAAAAGGACGUACGCCACGUUUUUGUGCGUACGCAACCUUAGUACAUGAGGCCCCUGGUCUGUUUCU